rnacentral:rRNA from 1 species
AAUUAAGUAAUUAAGCGUAUUUAGUGGAUGCCUUGGCAAUCAGAGACGAUGAAGGACGUGCUAAUCUGCGAAAAGUAUCGGCUAGCUGAUAAAGAAGCGUUAUUAACCGAUAAUAUCCGAAUGGGGUAACCCAAGUAUAUUAAUAUAUACUUAUUAUUAAGUGAAUAAAUAGCUUAAUAAAGUUAACCAAAUGAACUGAAACAUCUUAGUAAUUUGAGGAAAAGAAAUCAAAAUUGAGAUUCCCUUAGUAGUGGCGAGCGAAAAGGGAUUAGCUUUAUUAGAAAUAAUUUUAAUAUUUAAAAUUAUAAGAAUGAUUUGGAAAAAUCAACUAUAAAAGGUGAUAGUCCUGUAUUUUAAAAUUUUAAAUAUUAAAUUCUAAUUAAAAGUAGGUCGAGACACGUUAUCUUGACUGAAUAUAGGGGGACCAUCCUCUAAAGCUAAAUACUACUGAUUGACCGAUAGUGAACUAGUACCGUGAGGGAAAGGUGAAAAGAACCCCUGUUAGGGGAGUGAAAUAGAUCCUGAAACUAUAUACGUACAAGCAGUAGGAGCAUAUAUGUAUUUUAUGUGACUGCGUACCUUUUGUAUAAUGGGUCAGCGACUUAUGUUUUGUAGCAAGGUUAACUGAAAAGGGAGCCGUAGGGAAACCGAGUUUUAAAAGAGCUAUUUUAGUUGCAAGACAUAGACCCGAAACCUGGUGAUCUAACCAUGAACAGGUUGAAAAUUAAGUAAAAUUAAUUGGAGGACCGAACCGACUAAUGUUGAAAAAUUAGCGGAUGAUUUGUGGUUAGGGGUGAAAGGCCAAUCAAACCAGGAGAUAGCUGGUUCUCCUCGAAAGCUAUUUAGGUAGCGCCUUAUAAAAUAUUUUUUAGGGGUAGAGCACUGUUUUAAUUAGGGAUAUGAAAAUAUUACCAAAUUAAUGCAAACUACGAAUACUAAAAAAAACUAUUUAUAGGAGACACACUAUGGGCGAUAACGUUCUUAGUGGAAAGGGAAACAACCCAGAUCGUAAGUUAAGGUCCUUAAGUCAUGAUUAAGUGUUUAACGAAGUGGGAUGUCUAAGACAGUUAGGAUGUUGGCUUAGAAGCAGCCAUCAUUUAAAGAAAGCGUAACAGCUCACUAACAGAGUCAACCUGCGCGGAAGAUUUAACGGGGCUAAAAUCAUGCACCGAAGCUACGACAAUUUUUUAAUUUUAAAAAUUGGGUAGAGGAGCGUUCUGUAAGUCUGUGAAGAUUUAUUGUGAGAUAAAUUGGAGAUAUCAGAAGUGCGAAUGCUGACAUGAGUAACGAUAAAACAAGUGAAAAACUUGUUCGCCGAAAAACUAAGGUUUCCUGUCCAACGGUAAUCGAGGCAGGGUUAGUCGAUCCUAAGGUGAGGUCGAAAGACGUAACUAAUGGAUAACAGGUUAAUAUUCCUGUACUAGUUAUAAUUAUAGUUGAUGGGAGAACGAAGAAAGCUAUGUUUGCUAAGUUAUGGUUGUCUUAGUUUAAACGUGUAGGAUGAAAAUUUGUAAAAUGCAUUUUUUUAUAUCUGAGGCGUUAUGAUGAGUUAUGAAAAUAACGAAAAAUUUAUGCUAUGCUUCCUAGAAAAGUCUCUAUACUUUAAAACUAUAACUAAUCGUACUAUAAACCGACACAGGUGGUUAGGUAGAAAAUACUAAGGCGUUUGAGAGAACUUGGGUGAAGGAACUAGGCAAAAUGAUGUCGUAACUUCGGGAGAAGACAUUCUGAUUGUAAGUGAUAAAAUUUACUUUUUGAGCUGAAAUCAGACUAAGGUAAUUGCUGGCUGCAACUGUUUAUUAAAAACACAGCACUGUGCUAACACGUAAGUGGAUGUAUACGGUGUGAUGCCUGCCCAGUGCCGGAAGGUUAAUUGACUUUGUGAUUAUAUUUUUUUUCUAAAAAAAUAUAUGAGCUUAUAAUAAAAGCCCCGGUAAACGGCGGCCGUAACUAUAACGGUCCUAAGGUAGCGAAAUUCCUUGUCGGGUAAGUUCCGACCUGCACGAAUGGCGUAAUGAUGGCCAGACUGUCUCCACCCAAGACUCAGUGAAAUUGAAAUUGCUGUGAAGAUGCAGUGUACCUGCGGCAAGACGGAAAGACCCCGUGAACCUUUACUAUAGCUUGAUACUGAAUUAUUAAUAUUAAUGUGUAGAAUAAAUGGGAGACUUUGAUAUAUAGGCGCUAGUUUAUAUGGAGUCGUCAGUGAAAUUACCAUUCUUUAAUAUUAAAUAUUCUAACUUAUUUCCGUUAUCCGGAUUAAGGACAAUGUCUGGUGGGUAGUUUGACUGGGGCGGUCUCCUCCUAAAGAGUAACGGAGGAGUACAAAGGUUAGCUAAUCACGGUCAGAAAUCGUGAGUUUAGUGCAAAGGCAUAAGCUAGCUUAACUGUGAGAAUGACAAUUCGAACAGAUGCGAAAGCAGGUCUUAGUGAUCCGAUGGUUCUUUAUGGUAAGGCCAUCGCUCAACGGAUAAAAGGUACUCCGGGGAUAACAGGCUAAUAUCGCCUAAGAGUUCAUAUCGACGGCGGUGUUUGGCACCUCGAUGUCGGCUCAUCACAUCCUGGGGCUGAAGAAGGUCCCAAGGGUAUGGCUGUUCGCCAUUUAAAGUGGUACGCGAGCUGGGUUUAGAACGUCGUGAGACAGUUCGGUCCCUAUCUGCCGUGGGCGUUGGAAGAUUGAGAGGAUCUGCUCCUAGUACGAGAGGACCGGAGUGGACAUACCUAUUGUGUUUGGGUUGUCAUGCCAAUGGCAUAGCCCAGUAGCUACGUAUGGAAAAGAUAACUGAUGAAAGCAUAUAAUCGGGAAACUUACCUCAAGAUUAAUCUUCCCAAUAAAUUAAUUUUUUUUUAAUUUAUCUAAAGGGACGUUAUAGACUAUGACGUUGAUAGGUCAAAUGUGUAAGCAUUGUGAAAUGUUUAGCUAAAUGAUACUAAUUUCCCGUGAGUCUUAAUUUU